rnacentral:rRNA from 1 species
UACGUAGGGGGCAAGCGUUGUCCGGAAUCAUUGGGCGUAAAGAGCGUGUAGGCGGCCCGGUAAGUCCGCCGUGAAAGUCCAGGGCUCAACCCUGGGAUGCCGGUGGAAACUGUCGGGCUCGAGUCCGGAAGAGGCGAGUGGAAUUCCUGGUGUAGCGGUGAAAUGCGCAGAUAUCAGGAGGAACACCAAUAGCGAAGGCAGCUCGCUGGGACGGUACUGACGCUGAGGAGCGAAAGCGUGGGGAGCAAACAGG